AAAAACAUGUCUGUGUGAAUUAGUUAUAAAGUCUAGCCUGCCCACUGAUUAUUUAAAGGGCCGCGGUAAUUUGACCGUGCGAAGGUAGCAUAGUCAGUAGUCUUUUAAUUGAAGGCUUGAAUGAAAGGUUGGACGAGGGGUAAGCUGUCUCUUUUACAAUAUUUGAAUUUAACUUUUAAGUGAAAAGGCUUAAAUUAUUUAGUGGGACGAUAAGACCCUAUAAAACUUAAUAUAGGUUUGACUUAAUUUUAUAAAAUGGGUGAAAAGUGAUUUUGUUUAGUUUAUAUUUUGUUGGGGCGAUAUAGAUAUAAUAUGUAACUGUUUAUUAAAUUUAAUAAUUAUAAUUAGUUUUUGAUCCUUCUUUGUGGAUUGAAAGAAUAAGUUACUUUAGGGAUAACAGCGUGAUUUUCUUUGAGAGUUCUUAUCGACAAGAGUAGUUGCGACCUCGAUGUUGAAUUAAAAUUUCAGUUAGGUGUAGCCGUUUAGCUGGUGGGUCUGUUCGACCUUUAAAAUUUUACAUGAUCUGAG
rnacentral:rRNA from 1 species